GAUGAACGCUGGCGGCGUGCUUAACACAUGCAAGUCGAACGAAGCACUUUAUUUGAUUUCCUUCGGGACUGAUUAUUUUGCGACUGAGUGGCGGACGGGUGAGUAACGCGUGGGUAACCUGCCUUGUACAGGGGGAUAACAGUUGGAAACGGCUGCUAAUACCGCAUAAGCGCACGGCAUCGCAUGAUGCAGUGUGAAAAACUCCGGUGGUAUAAGAUGGACCCGCGUUGGAUUAGCUAGUUGGUGAGGUAACGGCCCACCAAGGCAACGAUCCAUAGCCGACCUGAGAGGGUGACCGGCCACAGUGGGACUGAGACACGGACCAAACUCCUACGGGAGGCAGCAGUGGGGAAUAUUGCACAAUGGGCGAAAGCCUGAUGCAGCGACGCCGCGUGAGCGAAGAAGUAUUUCGGUAUGUAAAGCUCUAUCAGCAGGGAAGAUAAUGACGGUACCUGACUAAGAAGCACCGGCUAAAUACGUG
rnacentral:rRNA from 1 species